AAUUUAAACCCUAAACCCUAAACCCUAAACCUUAAAUCCUAAACCCCACCCUUUAACUUUAAACCCUAAGUUUAUGACUUUUGAUAAAACAUUAAGUGCUAUUUUUGUGACUUUUGACCUUGACUGCUAGUUUUGGAACAAAAACGAUUUAGUGCUAUUUUUAUUUUUUUUUCUUUUUUAUUAGUACCACAAAAAGCUAAUUACAGGUUCGAAGAAGGUAGAGGAAGAGGAAUCAAAUAUAACGUAGACGGGGGAAGGUGGGUUGUAGAAAUUAACGGAGAUAUGUUACGACGUGGGUCGUAGAACCGGCGGUGGAGGUAACGGUUUAGGAGAAGACAAAGAUAGUGAUCGUGGCGUAGUAGAGUUGUAGGGCUACGAAGGCCCAAAUUAAAAUAAGAAGCCCACGAAGAAACCCACAAAAGGUUAAGUGAUGAAGCGAUUUAGGUACGUCAACAAAAUUUAGUUUCGUAGAAUUAAUUUAGAUGACACGUGUCCAAAUUUGCUCCUAGGUAGCAACAUCGUAGACGGAUUUAGUUGAUUGUAAUUUUUGUCUAUGGGGUCAAUCCAUAAUUAAAUAGAAAAUGAAAUUUAAACCAAAAAUACGACCCAACCUAAUGUAACUACCCGAGCAAUCGUAAAUGUAAUUAGGGUUCGUCGAUUUGCGAUUACAGAGAGCGAGAGGAGAAGACAGCUAGAUCGAGCUUCUGAGGAAGAGACCGGUCUGGCGGUGGAGACGCAACCCUGUUAUGAUUCCUUUUCAUAACUACUAAGAUUCAUCAACAUGGAAUCUACUGAACUGGAAGACAUAAAUUUCUUUAGUUCCUUUCCCGACCACAGAAGCUAAAGUUUCUUCACUCCAACCACAAGCUCCCUCUGAUCCGACUCUGUAUCCGAAGACACGGAUUCACCAAAGCCACAUAACGAAGAAGAAGACGAGUACGUCGAAGAGUUGACUCUUUCUCUCGAUCUAGCUAUCUUCUCCUCUCUCUCUCUCUGUAAUCUCAAAUAGACGAACUCUAAACACAUUUACGUUUGCUCGGGUUACAUUAGAUUGGGAUGGGUUAUUAAUUAGGUUGGAUGGGUUUUUGGUUUAAAUUUUAUUUUUUGAAUAUUUACGGAUUGACCCCAUAAGCAAAAAUUACAAUCAAUUAAAUCCGUCUGUGAUGUUGCCACCGUAUAAUCAUUUACUUCGUAUA